rnacentral:rRNA from 1 species
CGCUAUCACUCCUACGGGGAGGCAGCAGUAGGGAAUCUUCCACAAUGGGCGCAGGCCUGAUGGAGCAACACCGCGUGAGUGAAGAAGGGUUUCGGCUCGUAAAGCUCUGUUGUUAAAGAAGAACACGUAUGAGAGUAACUGUUCAUACGUUGACGGUAUUUAACCAGAAAGUCACGGCUAACUACGUGCCAGCAGCCGCGGUAAUACGUAGGUGGCAAGCGUUAUCCGGAUUUAUUGGGCGUAAAGAGAGUGCAGGCGGUUUUCUAAGUCUGAUGUGAAAGCCUUCGGCUUAACCGGAGAAGUGCAUCGGAAACUGGAUAACUUGAGUGCAGAAGAGGGUAGUGGAACUCCAUGUGUAGCGGUGGAAUGCGUAGAUAUAUGGAAGAACACCAGUGGCGAAGGCGGCUACCUGGUCUGCAACUGACGCUGAGACUCGAAAGCAUGGGUAGCGAACAGGAUUAGAUACCCUGGUAG